rnacentral:rRNA from 1 species
UACGGAGGGUGCAAGCGUUAUCCGGAUUCACUGGGUUUAAAGGGUGCGUAGGUGGGUAAGUAAGUCAGUGGUGAAAUCUUCGAGCUUAACUCGGAAACUGCCAUUGAUACUAUUUAUCUUGAAUACUUUGGAGGUAAGCGGAAUAUGUCAUGUAGCGGUGAAAUGCUUAGAUAUGACAUAGAACACCAAUUGCGAAGGCAGCUUACUACACAGUUAUUGACACUGAGGCACGAAAGCGUGGGGAUCAAACAGG